rnacentral:rRNA from 1 species
GACGAACGCUGGCGGCGUGCCUAAUACAUGCAAGUCGAACGCUGAAGGAGGAGCUUGCUUCUCUGGAUGAGUUGCGAACGGGUGAGUAACGCGUAGGUAACCUGCCUGGUAGUGGGGGAUAACUAUUGGAAACGAUAGCUAAUACCGCAUAAUAGCAGUUGUUGCAUGAUAACUGUUUGAAAGGUGCAAUUGCACCGCUACCAGAUGGACCUGCGUUGUAUUAGCUAGUUGGUGGGGUAACGGCUCACCAAGGCGACGAUACAUAGCCGACCUGAGAGGGUGAUCGGCCACACUGGGACUGAGACACGGCCCAGACUCCUACGGGAGGCAGCAGUAGGGAAUCUUCGCAAUGGACGGAAGUCUGACCGAGCAACGCCGCGUGAGUGAAGAAGGUUUUCGGAUCGUAAAGCUCUGUUGUAAGAGAAGAACGAGUGUGAGAGUGGAAAGUUCACACUGUGACGGUAUCUUACCAGAAAGGGACGGCUAACUACGUG